AUUGAACGCUGGCGGCAUGCUUUACACAUGCAAGUCGAACGGUAACAGGUUAAGCUGACGAGUGGCGAACGGGGGAGUAAUGCAUCGGAACGUGCCCGAUCGCGGGGGAUAACGCAGCGAAAGCUGCGCUAAUACCGCAUACGACCUGAAGAUGAAAGGGGGGGACCGGAAGGCCUCGCGCGGUCGGAGCGGCCGAUGUCAGAUUAGGUAGUUGGUGGGUAAAGGCCCACCAAGCCGACGAUCUGUAGCUGGUCUGAGAGGACGACCAGCCACACUGGGACUGGGACACGGCCCAGACUCCUACGGGAGGCAGCAGUGGGGAAUUUUGAACAAUGGGCGAAAGCCUGAUCCAGCAAUGCCGCGUGCAGGAAGAAGGCCUUCGGGUUGUAAACUGCUUUUGUACGGAGCGAAAAGGUCCUUUCUAAUACAAGGGGCUCAUGACGGUACCGUAAGAAUAAGCACCGGCUAACUACGUGCCAGCCGCCGCCGUAA
rnacentral:rRNA from 1 species